rnacentral:rRNA from 1 species
UACGUAGGGUCCGAGCGUUGUCCGGAAUUACUGGGCGUAAAGAGCUCGUAGGUGGUUUGUCGCGUUGUUCGUGAAAACUCACAGCUCAACUGUGGGCGUGCGGGCGAUACGGGGCAGACUAGAGUACUGCAGGGGAGACUGGAAUUCCUGGUGUAGCGGUGGAAUGCGCAGAUAUCAGGAGGAACACCGGUGGCGAAGGCGGGUCUCUGGGCAGUAACUGACGCUGGAGGAGCGAAAGCGUGGGGAGCGAACAG